UACAGAGGUCUCAAGCGUUGUUCGGAUUCAUUGGGCGUAAAGGGUGCGUAGGCGGCGCGGUAAGUCGGGUGUGAAAUCUCGGAGCUUAACUCCGAAACUGCAUUUGAUACUGCCGUGCUUGAGGACUGGAGAGGAGACUGGAAUUUACGGUGUAGCGGUGAAAUGCGUAGAUAUCGUAAGGAAGACCAGUGGCGAAGGCGGGUCUCUGGACAGUUCCUGACGCUGAGGCACGAAGGUCCGGGGAGCAAACGGG
rnacentral:rRNA from 1 species